rnacentral:piRNA from 1 species
UGUGGUAGCAUGUAUACAUAUUUGGAGU